rnacentral:rRNA from 1 species
AUUGAACGCUGGCGGCAGGCCUAACACAUGCAAGUCGAGCGAGCGGCGGACGGGUGAGUAAUGUCUGGGAAACCGCCUGAUGGAGGGGGAUAACUUCUGGAAACGGUAGCUAAUACCGCAUACUAUCAUCUGUGCCCAGAUGGGAUUAGCUAGUUGGUGGGGUAACGGCUUACCAAGGCGACGAUCCCUAGCUGGUCUGAGAGGAUGACCAGCCACACUGGAACUGAGAAACGGUCCAGACUCCUACGGGAGGCAGCAGUGGGGAAUAUUGCACAAUGGGCGCAAGCCUGAUGCAGCCAUGCCGCGUGUGUGAAGAAGGCCUUCGGGUUGUAAAGCACUGUCAUCGGGGAGGCGUUACCCGAAGAAGAAGCACCGGCUAACUCCGUGCCAGCAGCCGCGGUAAUAC